UGAGCUUGCCCUGUUUUUACACCUAAAUUUGUAUGAAAGUUACAGUGGGUAUUCUCUUCACCUUUCACAAAAUAUAUUCAUUUAGCGACUCACCAUCCACGGUCCCCACCUUUUAAAAACACACAACUCAACAACUCUGUUCCUAUCCCCUUAUGUAAUGGCUUCUGUAAAGAGUAUACAUUACUUAGCUCCAAUGACCAUGGGACUAUCCCUGAGCUGUUUGAGCCUGACCCAGAACAUUUAUACUGAGCAAAAGUUACAGUCCUGCAGAAGAAAACAAACCAAGAUUGAUGCAAUCUUUAAUAAUCAAGAAUGAAGAAUACAGAAACUGAAAAUGGGUUUCUUGUUGGAUUUAAAAUGAAUUCCUUUUUGUGUUCAGCUGACACACUUUUGUCUGGUGGAAGGUCCUCAUGCCCUGUCCAGAAACAUUGAGCCGGCCCGUCACCUUACCGUUAAUAAACACAGUGUGUUUGUUCCCCUGAAGAGAACAUUCUCUGCUCUGUAAUGGCUCUGUCGAGUACAGAAAUUGUAUGCAGAUGACAUUUCUGCCACCAAACAAAUUGCAUUAGUCAAUGAUCAAAACAAGUUUUACUAAUGGCAGACUGAUUUUUCCAUGAUAGAUAUAUAUUGUGUUUGGCAUAGUUUUAGUCUACCUCAUAGAUGGACUGCCCAUCUGCAGCACCUUAUUCUGAAACAUUCCAAUCAAUGAUGCAGAAACAAUUUUUAUUCAGUUCAAUGUCAAAUCUGUUGUACCUGUACUAUGAUACAUCUGGCUACAAAAUCAGAAGCUAUUACUGUCAUUGUUGAACAGAAAUGUGUAUCUCUAGUGGCUUUGUCAUUCUUGUUCCAGGUUAUGACAGUAUUGCUAGCGUUACUGUCACUUAGAACCUUGUCCACAGGAAAGGUCACCUUUGCCCUGCAAAAAGAAAUUCCAAGGCCAUGUAUUCCAGUCAAAAAUACCAUAACAUCACCUGAAAUAAAAGCAUUAAUUAGAAGAAAGUGUUUAUCAGGUCAUUAUUGAUAUUAUAUGCUAAUGCAAACUGAAAUUGUUCAUGUUUAAAAGGAGUAAUUAGGGAAAGAAAAAAAAACAGGAGAAGCUGAAAUUAUGAGCAGAUUAAGAAAGUAACUUACCAUGAACAUGUCUUCAUUACCAUGGAAUGAGCAUUCUACAGAAAAUUUUGAUUUUAAACUAAAAACAAAGACUGUUGUAGCAUCAUUGCAAAAGAAAAAAUAUCAGGGAAUUGCUUCAAGCUAAACUUUGAUGGUGCUGUUAGAUACUCCCUGGGACUGGCCGCGGGUGGAGGAAUUUUAAGAUCUCACUCUGGGGAGUUAGUGUCUGCCUAUGCUAUAAAUUUGAAUGGUUGCUCUAGUAAUCAAGCUGAAGACAUGGCAUGCUAAUGCAAACUGAAAUUGUUCAUGUUUAAAAGGCGUAAUUAGGGAAAGAAAAAAACAGGAGAAGCUGAAAUUAUGAGCAGAUUAAGAAAGUAACUUACCAUGAACAUGUCUUCAUUACCAUGGAAUGAUCAUUCUACAGCAAAUUUUGAUUUCAAACUAAAAACAAAUACUGUUGUAGCAUCAUUGCAAAAGAAAAAUAUCAGGGAAUUGCUUCUGUAACAAUUCAUACAAGGGAAUGGCAAUUGCUAAGGUGAUACAGAGAAUAGCUGUGGAUCCAGCCAAGCGUCUUAUUAAAAAAAUGUGUGGUGAAAUGGUUCAACUCUAUCUGCAGGAAGCACAAUUUUAAAGAAGUUGAGGAGGAAGCUGUGGAAGUAAUUGGUGAAAAUGAAGCAGACAAUGUGAAAAUGCAUUAUGCUUAUUGAUUGACUAAAAAACUAAGCUAUUAGAAUGUUGUUUAUUCGUGUAGUUUUUAUCUUAUUAUGAAGAGAUGUUAGCUUUGACUAAGGACUAUUGUUUAGGGUUUUGUGUAUUGAUUAAUUUCCUUGCGAGAAUCAUCAACAAGGAUGCAUUUUGUUUCACAGCUAGCCUUGCUCUCAUUUGAGAUAUAUGAAGUGUCCAUUCUAUGGUAUGUGUCCGAAUCUCCAAAUGUAAAUGUAUCUUCUAUAAAUGUUUUGAAUCCAUUUUCCAUGCCAUUGAAAGUGUUGGCACAAAUCUAGUAACACUAUACCCACCAACCAGGACUUCGAACUUUGUAUGAGAAAGCUAAAAAUGAAUUAUACAUGUAUCAAUGGUAUACCAUCAUAUAAAGGUAGAUGGAAAUUCUACUACUUGCACCCAAGCCUAAAUAAAUAAUUUAAAAACAUAAUGAAUUAUUUCUGUCUAAGAAGAUAUUUAGUGUCCUUUAUUACCAGUAGAUGAUACCAAAGAACAAUCUAAUUGAAUAUUUUACCUACAAAUAUUUGAUUCCCUAUAUAUCUAUGGAAAGGAUAUAUCAACUCGCUGUUUAAUAUUAGCAGCAACCGAGUUUAUCUCUGACAUCCUUGUCACUCGAUUAUACUCAUCCUUCCAUUGGGAACACUUGUAAUACCCUUUUCAAACAAAGUAGUAGAUUCACCCACUCUUUCAUGCCGCAUAGAAACCAGUGUUCGUUCCUUUUAACAUAUAUGCCUCAAACCUAUCACGGUAGCCCGAAUGGCAAUGAACCAAGGAAUUUUCUAUUAUGGGUAUAUCUAGCAGUCUCGAGUCACCAUAUUUUGUUUUCAUUCCUUUGGUAACUUUGUAUGAGCUUCCAUAAUGACAAUCAUCUUCUCGAAGGACACAAAGACUUUUCGCAGUUACACCCUUUACCAUAGCAGCAUAGAAGUUGAUUCACUGAAUUGGAAGAAUGAGAAACUGAAGUGAUGAGUUUUUUUAAUUUUUUUUUGUCUUAGAUUUGUUCUUAGUUUGAAAUCUAAAUUUUCUGUAGAAAGAUCGAUUCAUAGUAAUGGUAAGUUUCUUCUUUUUGUUCAUGGUAAGUUUCCUUUUCUACUGCUGGCAUAGAUGGUAUCCUUUGUUCACAGUUUCAAUUGAGUACUGCUGUGUACGAUUUGACAGAUAUUGCAGCACUUGAACUACCACUCAUAAUAAAGUGAAUAAACCCAUUGGCGCCAACUACCAAUAAGUAGAAUUGCAGGUCGCCAAGUAAAAUAUCUACAUGAAUAUCUGUAAGAUUUCAGAUUUUUUUCUUUGCAGAUCUCCAAUUGGAUUUUUUUAGUUGGCAGGAAUGGGUUUAUUUACUUUAUUACGAGUGGUAGUUCAAGUGCUGCAUUAUCAGUUAAAGUGGAGUACAAAGGCAUUGAACUGAAGUAGUGCACGAUGGAUGCCAUCUAUGCCAACAGUAGAAAAGGAAACUUACCAUGAAAAAAAGAAGAAGUUUACACUUAUUAUGAAACGAUCAUUUUACAUAAAAUUUAUAUUUCAAACUAAGAGCAAAUCUUUGCUUUAGGAUCGCAUCGCAAAAGGAAAAAGAUCAGCAAAUAAAUUAUAAGAAUUUCAGGCAGGGGAAUGGCGAUUGCUAAGGAGAUAACGAGAAGAGUUGUGGAUCAAACCAGCCGUCUUAUUAGAGAAUGUACAAUGAAAUGCAUUAAAUACGUUUCCAGGGAGCACAUUUUUAGCGAAUUUGAAAAUGCAAAGAACGUGCAAAUUAAACAGUAAGAACAGAGGAGAAAUAUACAUGAUGCUCAGAUAAAGAAUCCAUCUGACCCCGUUGGAAUUUGCUCAAUUGAAGAGCCCAUAUGAUAAGGUUAGUAUACGGCAUCAAAGGUCUCGAGACAGAGUUCAACCCCUCAAAAGUAUUUCCCAUGUCGGAAAUUCUUCUAACCAGGCUCAUUAUCCUAUGGUGUAGCAUAUCUAGUUCAGUUUUAAAAUCUAUAAAAGUUGAAUCUGUUCUGCUCUAUAAAAGUUUUUACUUUUUUUGUGAUUGCAGCACAUUGGCGAUGAGACUCCAAUAAGGACCCCAGAAUCGCAGUGGACGCCAAUACAGUCUCCAAUUACUGGUUUUCGAGAUAAACUGUUGGGUAUUAACGUGAUAUUAUUUGUUCCACAGAUUUUAAAAAAGAGGAGCAGCUCUUACAUUCCAAUGAGGAGCACCCGACAACGGACCAGCUCUUAUAUCCCAUUAGUUAACAAGAAACCAAUGGAAGUGGAGAAGCAGAAUGUUAAGUCAGCAUUUGAAUUCCAAGUGCCGCGACAAUCGAGAGAGGCAGCUUGUAAAAUUUUAGGGCAUUUGGAGCAGGUCCGGUCAUUUUCUAAGGAAAAUUAGGUCGGUCAAACUUGAAUGAUGAUCUUCAAAUUUCAUCAGGAUCUUCAGAAUAUUUGGCUAAGACAUUUAAAGGUCCAUCUUCCUCAGAAUUCUCAGGCAUGUAACUUCAAUAUUCGUCUGAUUGUAACUCUAAUUUUAUGGGGUUUUUCCCCAGCAUAUACAUUUUUCAACACAGGUUAAAAACCCGCUAUGUUACAGCUAAAGGAGCCUAUUUAACAAGCAAGAACUUUUUUGUUGUCAUUUUUUCCUGUGCAUUUGAACAAUUAUACUUCAUUUAUUUUCCGAUAAUUGUUUCUUGUUUAUUUGGUAGAAAACUUGACCACUGUCUCAAGUUCAAAUGGCCUUGCAACACCUGCAUUGGGCAUCAGUUCUUGCAACAUCUGACUUAGGCCUGGUGGAGCAUCAUCUAGUAUCACUAAUGCUGCUGAAAGCAUAGGAGUUUCUACAAAGGUAGACACAACAUUGCAUGUUUUAGAUAGUCCUCUAAUUCUAGAAAAAGUGAAAGGUUUUGGAAUGAGUUUAUCAGAGGUAUGUUUGAUUGAUAACUGGCUAUGUUAAUGUUACAACUAAUGCUUUAUGUAUGGUUUGUAUUUUUCGUUUUUGUAAUGUUUGAUGGCAUUGUUUGCUUUCUAGGUGAAUAAAAAAUUUCGGUAGUAUAACCUAAUUUGAACAUUUGCUAACGUUUUUUGGACUUGAAUGUAAUUUCUACAAAGGUGGACACAACAUUGCAUUUUUCUAGAUAGUCCUCUGGUUCGAGAAAACAUUAGAGGCUUCGAAUGAGUUUAUGAGAGCUACGUUCAGUUGAUAAUUAGCUAUGUUAAUUUUACAAUUAAUGCGUUAUGUAUGGUUUGUGUUUUUUGUUUCUCAAAUAUUUCAUGGCAUUGUGUUCUUUCCAGGCGAAUUAAAGUUGUUUUCGAUAACUUAAUUUGAACAUUUGCUAACCAGUUGUGGACUUAAAUGUAAUAGAGUCUGAUGACGAGGAACAUGUUAGCAACAAUGCUACUAGAGAUUCAGCUGUUCAUUGUCUUGAUCAAUGAAGGAAAAUCAGUUGUUGAGGAAUGUCAAUGGGGAGGGAAUUUCAAUCGCACUCUCCAAACAUUGCCCUCUGGAACCCCACAAACAUCUCACUUCUCAGGCAACAUGGAAGAUUUCCAGUCCACAACCUUAGUCUUCUCUCCGACUUGUCUAAUAGGCGGUUCAUAUGAGGUGGGCCAAUUACUUCAUAUCCCUAACUGUUGGAACAUGCUUGGCUAAAGGGAGGGAUGGUUGUUAUUGGGAA